AUGUCUAAGUACAUGCCGUAUUAAGGCGAAACCGCGAAUGGCUCAUUAAAUCAGUCAUGGUUCCUUGGAUCGUACCUUACUACUUGGAUAACUGUGGCAAUUCUAGAGCUAAUACAUGCAGCAGAGCUCCGACCUUCGGGGACGAGCGCUUUUAUUAGACCAAAACCAAUCGGACCUCGUGUCCGUCUCUUGUGGUGACUCUGUAUAACUUUGGGCUGAUCGCACGGGCCUGUCCCGGCGACGUAUCUUUCAAGUGUCUGCCUUAUCAACUUUCGAUGGUAGGUUACGCGCCUACCAUGGUCGUAACGGGUAACGGGGAAUCAGGGUUCGAUUCCGGAGAGGGAGCCUGAGAAACGGCUACCACAUCCAAGGAAGGCAGCAGGCGCGCAAAUUACCCACUCCCAGAACGGGGAGGUAGUGACGAAAAAUAACAAUACGGGACUCUUUUGAGACCCCGUAAUUGGAAUGAGUACACUCUAAAUCCUUUAACGAGGAUCCAUUGGAGGGUAAGUCUGGUGCCAGCAACCGCGGUAAUUCCAGCUCCAAUAGCGUAUAUUAAAGUUGUUGCGGUUAAAAAGCUCGUAGUUGGAUCUCAGUUCCAGACGGGUGGUCCUCCUACCGGUGGCUACUGCCUGUUCUGAACAGUCAGCCGGUUUCUCUUGAUGAUCUUCACCGGUUGUCUUGGGUGACCGGCAAGUUUACUUUGAAAAAAUUAGAGUGCUCAAAGCAGGCGUGACGCCUGAAUAAUGGUGCAUGGAAUAAUGGAAUAGGACCUCGGUUCUAUUUUGUUGGUUUUCGGAACACGAGGUAAUGAUUAAGAGGGACAGACGGGGGCAUUCGUAUUGCGACGCU
rnacentral:rRNA from 1 species